rnacentral:rRNA from 1 species
UACGGAGGGUGCAAGCGGUAUUCGGAAUUACUGGGCGUAAAGAGCGCGUAGGCGGUUUCUUAAGUCAGAUGUGAAAGCCUUCCGCUUAACGGAAGAAGUGCAUUUGAAACUGAGAGGCUUGAGUAUGGGAGAGGGAAGUGGAAUUCCUGGUGUAGCGGUGAAAUGCGUAGAUAUCAGGAGGAACACCGGUGGCGAAGGCGACUUCCUGGACCAAUACUGACGCUGAGGCGCGAAGGCGUGGGGAGCAAACAGG